CCAUGCGAUAGAGCCAGCUGG
rnacentral:misc_RNA from 1 species